rnacentral:rRNA from 1 species
GAGUUUGAUCCUGGCUCAGGAUGAACGCUGGCGGCGUGCCUAAUACAUGCAAGUCGAGCGAACAGAUAAGGAGCUUGCUCCUUUGAAGUUAGCGGCGGACGGGUGAGUAACACGUGGGUAACCUACCUAUAAGACUGGGAUAACUUCGGGAAACCGGAGCUAAUACCGGAUAACAUUUAGAACCGCAUGGUUCUAAAGUGAAAGAUGGUUUUGCUAUCACUUAUAGAUGGACCCGCGCCGUAUUAGCUAGUUGGUAAGGUAACGGCUUACCAAGGCGACGAUACGUAGCCGACCUGAGAGGGUGAUCGGCCACACUGGAACUGAGACACGGUCCAGACUCCUACGGGAGGCAGCAGUAGGGAAUCUUCCGCAAUGGGCGAAAGCCUGACGGAGCAACGCCGCGUGAGUGAUGAAGGGUUUCGGCUCGUAAAACUCUGUUAUUAGGGAAGAACAAAUGUGUAAGUAACUGUGCACAUCUUGACGGUACCUAAUCAGAAAGCCACGGCUAACUACGUGCCAGCAG